GCGGUAUUUUAGCAAAAGGUAGUGCAACCCUGCAAGCUCUAUAAUUAUUAUUUAGGUAUUGUCAGGAUGGAAUUUGAAUCUGUUGGAGCAAGUCUAUCACAGAGAUUUUAUGAACCAUGCAUGCAAUUUGUACAUAAUCAUAUAUUUGCCCAUUAUAUUUAUAAACUGACAGUUAAUAAUUAAUCUUUCACAGACUAUUAAAAUCAUCUGGGGCCGGUAGUUGAGUAGUUCAAAGGCUUUCACGGGCUUCGAACAACCGAGCCCAGAUGAUUUUAUUAGUAUGUGAAAGAGUAAUAUUAUUAACUGUCAGUUUAUAAAUAUAAUGGGCAAAUUAGAGAUGGAGUAUAUAAAAUUAUUACUAAAGUAGGCUCAUUGCCAAUUGAUGGAUUAGGUUAACAUAAUUAAUAAACUAUAGAUGGUUUUGUUGCGCAUCUCACUCAAUGGAAAUUUUAAUGUUGGGUUUUGUUGAUGGAUAAAUCGAGUACUUAAUAAUUUGAAUUAAAAUAUGGACCUAACCAGGCCCUUAUUGCCU